GGGGGGGGGUGGGGGGGUGGGUGGGGCAGGCAAGGCGGGGGAGGGGGCGGGGGGCGUGCUGUUCUGGUGGUAGCGGCGGGCGGGUGAGUAACGCGUGGAUAACCUACCUAUAAGACGGGGGUAACUUCGGGAAACCGGGGCUAAUACCGGCUACUAUUUUGAACCGCAUGGUUCAAAAGGGAACGACGGUCUGGCUGUCGCUUAUAGAUGUAUCCGCGCCGCAUAAGCUAGUUGGUAAGGUAACGGCUUACCAAGGAAACGAUGCAUAUCCGACCUGAGAGGGUGAUCGGCCACACUGGAACUGAGACACGGUCCAGACUCCUACGGGAGGCAGCAGUAGGGAAUCUUCCGAAAUGGGCGAAAGCCUGACGGAGCAACGCCGCGUGAGUGAUGAAGGUCUUCGGAUCGUAAAACUCUGUUAUUAGGGAAGAACAUAUGUGUAAGUAACUGUGAACAUCUUGACGGUACCUAAUCAGAAAGCCACGGCUAACUACGUG
rnacentral:rRNA from 1 species